rnacentral:tRNA from 1 species
GCCCUGGUGGCUGCGUGGUAAAGCGCUGGCCUUCGGAUCCCCAAGUUGUGGGUUAGAAUCCCGGCCUGGGUU